GGACUCAAUCUCCAGACUAUCUCCCCAGAGAAUCUUGUCAAGGCUUGGCUUUAAGCUUUGUUGGGAAAAUCAAAGACUCCAAGUUUGAUGACUGGAAGAAUAUUCGAGGACCCAGGCCUUGGGAAGAUCCUGACCUCCUCCAAGGAAGAAAUCCAGAAAGCCUUAAGACUAAGACAACUUGACUCUGCUGAUUCUUUUUUCCUUUUUUUUUUUUUUAAAUAAAAAUAUUAUUAACUGGACUUCCUAAUAUAUACUUCUAUCAAGUGGAAAGGAAAUUCCAGGCCCAUGGAAACUUGGAUAUGGGUAAUUUGAUGACAAAUAAUCUUCACUAAAGGUCAUGUACAGGUUUUUAUACUUCCCAGCUAUUCCAUCUGUGGAUGAAAGUAACAAUGUUGGCCACGUAUAUUUUACACCUCGAAAUAAAAAAUGUGAAUACUGCUCCAAAAA
rnacentral:lncRNA from 1 species